GGGGUGAGUGGCGAACGAGUUAGUAACACGUAGGAACCUGCCCCAAAGACGGGUAUAAUCUCGCGAAAGCAAGACUAAUACCCGAUAGUCCCUGACCUCGUGUCAGUGUAAAGGUUAUCCCUUUUGGGAUUUCCGCUUUGGGAGGGUCCUGCGUCCUAUCAGCUUGUUGGUGAGGUAAUGGCUCACCAAGGCAAUGACGGGUAGGGGGCGUGAGAGCGCGACCCUCAACGCUGGGACUGAGACACGGCCCAG
rnacentral:rRNA from 1 species